AGUGGAUGGGGAGCAACCUAGUUGUGCGUGUGUAAAGGUAGUGCCAAGAAAAGCGAUGAUCAUGUUGAAAAUCAAUUCCCGGUACCCGAAACCGACACAGGUGGGCAAGUAGAGAAUACUAAGGGGCGCGAGGUAACUCUCUCCAAGGAACUCGGCAAAAUGACCCCGUAACUUAGGGAGAAGGGGUGCCACCGAGAGGUGGUCGCAGUGAAGAGGCCCAGGCGACUGUUUAGCAAAAACAUAGGUCUCUGCAAACUCGAAAGAGGAGGUAUAGGGGCUGACGCCUGCCCAGUGCCGGAAGGUUAAAGAAGUUGGUCAGUUUUAGGAUGAAGCUAGCGACUGAAGCCCCGGUGAACGGCGGCCGUAACUAUAACGGUCCUAAGGUAGCGAAAUUCCUUGUCGGGUAAGUUCCGACCCGCACGAAAGGCGUAACGAUCUGGGCGCUGUCUCGGAGAGAGGCUCGGCGAAAUAGGAUUGUCUGUGAAGAUACGGACUACCUGCAUUUGGACAGAAAGACCCUAUGAAGCUUUACUAUAGCUUGGAAUUGUGUUCGGGCUUCCUGUGCGCAGGAUAGGUGGGAGGCGUAGAAGGUAUUCUUGUGGGGAUACUGGAGCCAACGGUGAGAUACCACUCUCAGGAGGCUAGAAUUCUAACUUAAUUAAGGACAGUUUCAGGUGGGUAGUUUGACUGGGGCGGUCGCCUCCAAAAAGGUAACGGAGGCGUACAAAGGUUCCCUCAGACUGGUUGGAAAUCAGUCGAAGAGUGCAAAGGCAGAAGGGAGCUCGACUGCGAGAAGUACAGUUCGAGCAGAGUGGAAACACGGUCUUAGUGAUCCGACGGUGCUGUGUGGAAGGGCCGUCGCUCAACGGAUAAAAGUUACUCUAGGAUAACAGGCUGAUCUCCCCCAAGAGUUCACAUCGACGGGGAGGUUUGGCACCUCGAUGUCGGCUCAUCGCAACCUGGGGCGGAAGUACGUCCCAAGGGUUGGGCUGUUCGCCCAUUAAAGCGGUACGUGAGCUGGGUUCAGAACGUCGUGAGACAGUUCGGUCCAUAUCCGAUGUAGGCGUGAGAAUAUUGAGAGGAGCCUUCCUUAGUACGAGAGGACCGGGAAGGACGCACCGCUGGUGUACCUGUUAUGAUGCCAAUUGUAAACGCAGGGUAGCCAAGUGCGGAGAGGAUAACCGCUGAAAGCAUCUAAGUGGGAAGCCCACCUCAAGAUGAGUAUUCUGGUGUAAGGUCACGGGAAGACGACCCGUAAAUAGGCACGAGGUGGAAGUGCAGAGAUGUAUGAAGCCGAAGUGUACUAAUAGACCGUCGGCUUGACC
rnacentral:rRNA from 1 species